GAAUUCGCCCUUAGAGUUUGAUCCUGGCUCAGGACGAACGCUGGCGGCGCGCUUAACACAUGCAAGUCGAACGGAGCUGAGAGGAGCUUGCUUUUCUCAGCUUAGUGGCGAACGGGUGAGUAACGCGUGAGUAACCUGCCCUGGAGUGGGGGACAACAGUUGGAAACGACUGCUAAUACCGCAUAAGCCCACGGCUCGGCAUCGAGCAGAGGGAAAAGGAGCAAUCCGCUUUGAGAUGGCCUCGCGUCCGAUUAGCUAGUUGGUGAGGUAACGGCCCACCAAGGCAACGAUCGGUAGCCGGACUGAGAGGUUGAACGGCCACAUUGGGACUGAGACACGGCCCAGACUCCUACGGGAGGCAGCAGUGGGGAAUAUUGCACAAUGGGGGAAACCCUGAUGCAGCGACGCCGCGUGGAGGAAGAAGGUCUUCGGAUUGUAAACUCCUGUUGUUGGGGAAGAUAAUGACGGUACCCAACAAGAAAGCACCGGCUAACUACGUGCCAGCAGCCGCGGUAAAACGUAGGGUGCAAGCGUUGUCCGGAAUUACUGGGUGUAAAGGGAGCGCAGGCGGGAAGACAAGUUGGAAGUGAAAACCAUGGGCUCAACCCAUGAAUUGCUUUCAAAACUGUUUUUCUUGAGUAGUGCAGAGGUAGAUGGAAUUCCCGGUGUAGCGGUGGAAUGCGUAGAUAUCGGGAGGAACACCAGUGGCGAAGGCGGUCUACUGGGCACCAACUGACGCUGAGGCUCGAAAGCAUGGGUAGCAAACAGGAUUAGAUACCCCGGUAGUCCAUGCCGUAAACGAUGAUUAUUAGGUGUUGGAGGAUUGACCCCUUCAGUGCAGCAGUUAACACAAUAAGUAAUCCACCUGGGGAGUACGACCGCAAGGUUGAAACUCAAAGGAAUUGACGGGGGCCCGCACAAGCAGUGGAGUAUGUGGUUUAAUUCGACGCAACGCGAAGAACCUUACCAAGUCUUGACAUCCCUUGACAGACAUAGAAAUAUGUAAUCUCUUCGGAGCAAGGAGACAGGUGGUGCAUGGUUGUCGUCAGCUCGUGUCGUGAGAUGUUGGGUUAAGUCCCGCAACGAGCGCAACCCUUAUGGUCAGUUACUACGCAAGAGGACUCUGGCCAGACUGCCGUUGACAAAACGGAGGAAGGUGGGGAUGACGUCAAAUCAUCAUGCCCUUUAUGACUUGGGCUACACACGUACUACAAUGGCGUUAAACAAAGAGAAGCAAGACCGCGAGGUGGAGCAAAACUCAGAAACAACGUCCCAGUUCGGACUGCAGGCUGCAACUCGCCUGCACGAAGUCGGAAUUGCUAGUAAUCGUGGAUCAGCAUGCCACGGUGAAUACGUUCCCGGGCCUUGCACACACCGCCCGUCA
rnacentral:rRNA from 1 species